GACGAACGCUGGCGGCGUGCCUAAUACAUGCAAGUCGAGCGAAGAGUUUCUGUUGCUGGCACCGGCAAAACUGAGCGGCGAACGGGUGAGUAACACGUAAAGGACCUGCCGCAUAGACUGGCACAACAAUCGGAAACGAUAGCUAAUACCGGAGAAUAACCUUAACUGCAUGGUUGAUGUGUAAGAGUUGGUUUUUCUAACACUAUGAGAUGGCUUUGCGGUCCAUUAGCUAGUUGGUGGGGUAAAGGCCUACCAAGGCGACGAUCAAUAGCUGACCUGAGAGGUGGAUCGGCCACACUCGGACUGAGACACGGCCCACACUCCGACGGGAGGCAGCAGUAGGGAACCUCCCGCAGUGGGCGAGAGCAUGACGGCGCAACGCGGCGUGAGUGAAGAAGGAUUUCGGUUCGUAAAGCUCUGUUGUUAGGGAAGAAUGAUUGUGUAGUCACUAUAAACAGUAGUGACGGUACCUAACCAGAAAGCCACGGCUAACUCCGUG
rnacentral:rRNA from 1 species